UGCCAGCAGCCGCGGUAAUACGGAGGGGGCAAGCGUUGCUCGGAAUUACUGGGCGUAAAGCGAGCGUAGGCGGUUAAUCAAGUUGGUGGUGAAAGCCCGGAGCUCAACUCCGGAACUGCCAUCAAAACUGGUUUACUUGAGAUUGGUAGAGGAAAAUGGAAUUCCUAGUGUAGAGGUGAAAUUCGUAGAUAUUGGGAAGAACAUCUGUGGCGAAGGCGAUUUUCUGGGCCAAUUCUGACGCUGAGGUUCGAAAGCGUGGGUAGCAAACAGGAUUAGAUA
rnacentral:rRNA from 1 species